ACACACCGCCCGUCACUCUCCCCAAGUCUUUAAAAACUUACAUUUAUAAUAAGCCACUUAAGCGAAGGGGAGGCAAGUCGUAACAUGGUAAGUGUACCGGAAGGUGUACUUGGACAAACCAAAAUGUGGCUAAAUAGUAAAGCAUCUCUCUUAC
rnacentral:rRNA from 1 species